AUGCACAUCUGCACACUUCCCUCACUAACACACUCCUCUGACCUCUCCAUCUCCAACACCAGAACCAUGAGCUGCUGUGGCUGUUCCGGAGGCUGUGGCUCCAGCUGUGGGGGCUGUGGCUCCAGCUGCUGUGUGCCCGUGUGCUGCUGCAAGCCUGUGUGCUGCUGUGUGCCAGCCUGUUCCUGCUCCGGCUGUGGCCAAGUGGGCUGUGGCUCCUGUGGGUGCUCCAAGGGGGGCUGUGGGUGCUCUAAGCCAGCCUGUUCCUGCUCCAGCUGUGGCAAAGGGGGCUGUGGGUCCUGUGGGGGCUGCAAGCCCUGCUGCUGCCAGUCCAGCUGCCAUGGCCCUGUGCGCUGCCAGUGCAAGGUCUGAAGUUCUGAGCUGAGAACCCCAGUGGCUCCCACACAUGCAGGAACACUUCCCUCCUGCUUUAGCCACACCCUACAUUUCUGUACCUGCUGAACCCUCGUUGGCUGUCUCUCUGCUGUGGCUUCCUACCUUCUGAAGCUUAGGCGCUCUCCUUCCUCUCUGUCAGCCUUGGUGUCUUACGCCUCAUUCGCUUUGACCAGGACUGUGCUCUCAGGGCCUCUUCAACAAUCACUGUCACCUUCCCCACUGGCCUGAGGCCCAUCGCCCCUUCCUCCCAUCAGUGCUGACCUGGGGCUGCUCAAAUCUCAGGGCCACUCAAGGUAGGGACAUCCCAGGAGCUGCACAACUGCUACCCACAGCUGCCACACCCCAUGGCCUCCUUCUGUCCUAUC
rnacentral:lncRNA from 1 species